AGAGGGAUAGCUGGGUCAAAUGGUGGUUCCGUUCUCUGAUUUCCAAGGAAUCUCCAUACUGCUUUCCAUAAUGGAUGCACCAAUUUGUAGUCCCACCAGCAAU
rnacentral:pre_miRNA from 1 species